UCGUCUUGUCUUGGACCUUGUACUUCUCACUUUUUGUAUGCCCAAGUGAAAGGAGUAUCUGUUCCCCAAAAUACAAACAAUUGCCUGUUGGCAAUGUAAGAACCAUGACAAGUUGUAUGUGCCCACCUGCUGGGAAAAGUAGCAGUUCUUUGGAAAAGCAAAUAAAAUGCAUCUUUGUUGGCCUCUUAAAGAGGACAAGUUGAUUUCGUGUGUGGGCUAGUUAAUGUUCAUGUUUUUCCAGGCUGCCCUAAAGCCCUUGUUCGUACAUUUCUAGUAUUGUCUCUUCCAGUUUACAACUUUAUUAUUGUAUGUUUCAUAGAAACACAAACAUCUGGAGAACAUCCUCAGGUAUAACUGCUGGGCAGUGCAGAAAAUAUCUGGUGUGAUCUGAAACAGCUUUUUCUUCCCAUGAAAGUACACCUCUGGGACUGGGAAAUUUCAAAGAUAAAUCCAAACUCCACUCCACUCGUUCAAGCAGCUUGUCCUUAUCAAGAUCUGUGGGCUGGGCAGUCAGCUGUUGGAGGUCUGUAAAAGAAUAAGCCUGAGAUUGUUCACAGGAAUUUUCAGCUUCAAUGCAGAGGAAAGAAAACUCUUCCAACUGGACUUCUACACCACUGAGAAGAAAUAAC
rnacentral:lncRNA from 1 species